rnacentral:ncRNA from 1 species
GCUCGGGGGUCCCGGCCCCGAACCCGUCGGCUGUUGGCGGAUUGCUCGAGCUGCUCACGCGGCGAGAGCGGGUCGCCGCGUGCCGGCCGGGGGACGGACCGGGAAUCGCCCCUUCGGGGGAUUUCCCCGAGCAUGAAACAGUCGACUCAGAACUGGUACGGACAAGGGGAAUCCGACUGUUUAAUUAAAACAAAGCAUUGCGAUGGUCCUCGCGGAUGCUGACGCAAUGUGAUUUCUGCCCAGUGCUCUG